AUGGGCUCUCACCCCAGUGACUGCAGGAGGCCUUGAUUUGCUGUAGCCUAGCUUAGCCUAGCAUCCGGCUAGCAAGGCCCCACUUGUUACACUGUGGCAGUGCAGCAGCUAGCGUUAGCCUGCUCUGCCCAACGUAAUGCAGUGGAACACGGACUAGUGUAGCGUGCUGAAGCCCAGUCUAGUGAAGUGCUAAGACUCCUUCCUAGCAUAUGCUUGUGUUUAAUGCAGCGACCUGCUUCUGCGUGGUGAGUUUAGACAUACCCUGCAGUCAAGGUAUUGUGUGUGCGUUUGUGUAAUAUGUAAUCAGCGUGCCUCAAACAGGCAGAGUAUAACUAGGCCUGGCGUGGUGACAGUGCUUUAGACCAGUUCGUUGCAAGCCCACGCUGUUUCAGUUGCUAUUUGUGGCCGUGGACACUAAAACUGGAGUCUGUACCUUGAGAUGUCAGCCAAGGCCCGAAAGGUUAAGGAGGUAAAUGCAGCUUUUAAGCAGGGCGGAGGGAGAGGGGACCACUGAAAAGAUUAAUUGACUUUCUGCAGAGCUUCACUUAUCCUCCGCUGGCACCUUUGACUUAAUGAGGAAUUCUGGGCAGAAGACAGACGGACGUGGCUACACGAAUGCUGGUGAAGGUCAAAUGUCAGGUCCUGCUACAAGACAACUCCUCCAGAGGAUUAUGGAUCCAAAGGGACAACUUCAGGUUAACAGCUUCAUGUUGAUGCAGAACACGCACAUGGAUAGUCAUGACUGUGGAAGACGGUAUUAAUGUUUGCCUGUCCAUGAAGCCCCGGUGACACACGCAUACAGGUAUGUGCUGAAUAUGACCACGAAAUUAAACUGACGUCUCAUGUUUGCAGCAGUGAAUACAGAUCUGUCAGAUUUUGGUGACUAGCCCAAUUUCUCCCACUUUCAGCUGGAGGAGCAGGUAACAGUUUAUCUGUGUAUACUGCACCACAGCUCUAAUUGGAUUCCCCACAUGUAUUACUGAAAAACAAAUGUCCGUGGCUUCACUUAGCCCCAGCUUGUUCCUCUCAUGUAAUACAUACUUAAAUCACACAGAUAACUCUUCUGCUAAGAUACAGGAUACAUGCUGACUGUUUUAACCCCAAACUGUCAUUUGACAACAGUUGCUCUAACCCUUAUAGGCUCUUCUAACAAUGCAGACUAAAAAUAAAAUGACUUCUUGGUUAAUUAAAGAUGGCGACAAGAAAUGACGUCUCUCCCACUUUUUUUUUCUUUUUUUUUAAUGAAAAUUGAGCCAUUUUCAAAUAAAGCCAAAGUGGUGAUGUCAUUUCCGGGAACCAUUUUUAAUCUUUAUUUAUAUGAGAAGAAUGCAUGUAGUUGAGAAACAGUUUGAAAUUAUAUUUUUCCUGGACUGGAUUAUUUUUUGAUUCUGAUUGUUAGAAGAGCCUGUGAGAGUGCUAUCAAAUGAUGACAUGGGAUUAAUACAGUUGGUGUGUGUCAGUUCUGCAGGUUAGCACAAGAGUUACCUCUGUGUUCAUACACAAGUAUUACAUACCGGUGUAUAUAAUACACGAGUGUCACAAGCUGGGGCUAGAGUUUACUCUGAAAAUUAGCAACAGAUUGGAUUUUUUUUUUUUUUGUAACUUGUCUGAGAGCCAGACUCAAAAUUAGAAGGGGGACAAAAUUUUAGGCUUCUGCUGCAUUUAAUUCAGCCCUGUGUGUUCAGGAUAAUAUUUAUUUGAAGGUCUAGUAGUUAACUUUCUCUGGCUAUUGGAUUUUGAUCAGUUUACAUUGGGCUCUUUGUGAAGUUGCACUAUCAUUAGUUUGAAAUUUAAAGAUUUAACAUUUACAUUUUAUAUUAGGUGAACUGCUUAAUUUGAUUUAUUUGGGCUUGGUCCUUUUGGUGGACUGCUACAUUCAGUUUAUAGACCUAUAAGCACAUUGUAAUAAGGUUUGUGCUUGUAAAAAUGACACUUUCUUUUAUUAUACAGAUAUAUAAUUUCUUUUGAGCUUCUGAGACUACUCAUUUUCC